rnacentral:rRNA from 1 species
AUACGUAGGGGGCGAGCGUUGUCCGGAAUGAUUGGGCGUAAAGGGCGCGUAGGCGGCGCGGUAAGUCUGGAGUGAAAGUCCUGCUUUCAAGGUGGGAAUUGCUUUGGAUACUGCCGCGCUUGAGUGCAGGAGAGGUUAUCGGAAUUCCCGGUGUAGCGGUGUAAUGCGUAGAGAUCGGGAGGAACACCAGUGGCGAAGGCGGGUAACUGGACUGCAACUGACGCUGAGGCGCGAAAGUGUGGGGAGCAAACAGGAUUAGAUACCCUGGUAGUCCACACUGUAAACGAUGAAUGCUAGGUGUAAGAGGUAUCGACCCCUUUUGGGCCGGAGUCAACACAAUAAGCAUUCCGCCUGGGGAGUACGGCCGCAAGGUUGAAACUCAAAUGAAUUGACGGGG